rnacentral:rRNA from 1 species
AACGAACGCUGGCGGCAGGCUUAACACAUGCAAGUCGAGCGAGAUCUUCGGGUGUAGCGGCGGACGGGGGAGUAAGGCGUGGGAAUAUGCCCUUCUGUGCGGAAUAGCUUCGGGAAAGAGAGCGUAAUAACGCAUAGGCUCUUAGGGGGAAAGAUUUAUCGGAGAAGGAUUAGCCCGCGUUGGAUUAGGUGGUUGGUGGGGUAACGGCCUACCAAGCCGACGAUCCAUAGCUGGUUUGAGAGGAUGAUCAGCCACACUGGGACUGAGACACGGCCCAGACUCCUACGCGAGGCAGCAGUGGGGAAUCUUAGACAAUGGGGGCAACCCUGAUCUAGCCAUGCCGCGUGAGUGAUGAAGGCCUUAGGGUUGUAAAGCUCUUUCAGCUGGGAAGAUAAUGACGGUACCAGCAGAAGAAGCCCCGGCUAACUCCGUG